UUUUUUUCUUCACAAGCAGCAAAUUUAUGAUCUCUUUCACAUUCAAAUCUUUGACGACGAACGAGUAAAUUCAAUCUAUUUAAACCUCAUUGUAUCAUCCUCAUUCCAUCAGCUUCGAAUCAUAAACCAUCAACUGAAUUCUCCAUUUGCUCUUUUCACAAAAUAACUCAAAUCUGCCACUCUCACUACAAAUUUCAGCUUUGCCACUUUCAGCUGGUAACUUUAAUUUCUUCUGUAAUUUCAUUUUAGUACAUCAAUUAUUUUAUGCAAAAACAAAACUUUCACAAAUCUUUCGUUUUACACAGCAUAUGCAUAAUCAAAUAGAAUAAAUCUUAUAAAUUACAUGAAAAAGGGGAAAUAGAAAUAGAAGAGGAAGAGAGGGCGUCUGGUGGCUGCUGCGGGGCUGCUGUCCCAGUGGCGCCACUGCUGCGCUGUAGACACGGGGGUGAAGUCGUUGGAAAGAGGCGACGAAGAGAGGGAGAGUGAGGGCGAGAGGAGGCAGAGCCGCCAGCUCCGGCGGCGGUGUUGCCGCCUGGUGGUGGCGGAAGGGGAAGACCGAGGGAGAGAAGGGAGAGGGAGAGGGAGAGGGAGAAAAGGGGAAGAAGGGGGCUGCGUAGGAAAUGGGCGUGAGAGUUGUGUGUGUGUUUGUGAAGUGUGAAUGUGUAAGUUUAAUUAGGGAAAUGUUAGAUGGGCUUGACUUUAGGUUAGUUUAAUUAUAAAUGGGCUUUAAUUGGGGCUUAAUUUAUUGAAUAAGUUGGGCUUAAUUCUACUUUUAAUAUGGCUGCAUUUACAUAUAUUUUUACAAUGAUAUUAUAAAAUUUUAUAUUUUCAAUUUACACUAUUAAUUUAAAUUUAGUUUUCAUUAAAUAUUGAGCUCAAAUAUUUUCAUAAGAAAAACUCUUUUAUAAUCUAUUAGACCAAUAAUUUUUAAAUGGCUAUAUGAUAAUAAAUUCUUAAGAUUUAAAUUACUAUUAUUAUUAUUUUUUUUAAUUCAAUUAGGCCCUUAUGUUUAUUAUUUGAAUUUAUCUGACUAGGUGCGGCGCGACUAGGACAUAACUGUUGAUCUGAAAUUAUUCAAGUUAUCUAUCAAAUCCAUAUUUUCAGGUGUGGGAUUUAUUUCAGUACAUGCACGUGGUUAAUAUUUGUCCAUUUUAAUAUUAUGUGUUUACCGUAUGUGUUGUAAAAAUAUUUAUCGCUAGGGGCCAGCAUAAUUGGUCCAGGACUUCACCGUCCUUGGUAUGCCACAAUGCGAUUUCAUGUUACAGGGUUGAAACCAUUAUAUUGUCGCCAGGGGCCCACAUAUAGGGUCCGGGACAUUAAAGUCCUUGGAUUGCCACAGUGCGUAUGGAAGUUAUGUUACGUUAUGACAAUAUGUGUUACCAUUUUAUUAACAUGGACAAUUAUUGCAUGUUCCCACAUUGAGUGUACCCUGUAUGCUCAUCCCAUAUUCAACAGUUUCAGGUGAUUGAUAUCGGAGGCGCGUGGAGAGUCGAAUGGGCGCGUCGAAUCUACUUAAAAAUAAAUGUUUCCCAAAACAUAUUAUGUUAUUUCAUGUGAUAUCUCUUGAUUAUGU
rnacentral:lncRNA from 1 species